rnacentral:rRNA from 1 species
AUUGAACGCUGGCGGCAGGCCUAACACAUGCAAGUCGAACGGUAGCACAGAGAGCUUGCUCUCGGGUGACGAGUGGCGGACGGGUGAGUAAUGUCUGGGAAACUGCCCGAUGGAGGGGGAUAACUACUGGAAACGGUAGCUAAUACCGCAUAACGUCUUCGGACCAAAGUGGGGGACCUUCGGGCCUCACACCAUCGGAUGUGCCCAGAUGGGAUUAGCUAGUAGGUGGGGUAAUGGCUCACCUAGGCGACGAUCCCUAGCUGGUCUGAGAGGAUGACCAGCCACACUGGAACUGAGACACGGUCCAGACUCCUACGGGAGGCAGCAGUGGGGAAUAUUGCACAAUGGGCGCAAGCCUGAUGCAGCCAUGCCGCGUGUAUGAAGAAGGCCUUCGGGUUGUAAAGUACUUUCAGCGGGGAGGAAGGCGAUGGAGUUAAUAGCUUCAUCGAUUGACGUUACCCGCAGAAGAAACACCGGCUAACUCCGUGCCAGCAGCCGCCGCCG